rnacentral:rRNA from 1 species
CCUACGGGAGGCAGCAGUGGGGAAUUUUGGACAAUGGGGGCAACCCUGAUCCAGCCAUGCCGCGUGAGUGAAGAAGGCCUUCGGGUUGUAAAGCUCUUUCGCAAGGGAAGAAACGAUGCAGGUGAAUAACCUGCGUUAAUGACGGUACCUUGAUAAGAAGCACCGGCUAACUACGUGCCAGCAGCCGCGGUAAU